rnacentral:lncRNA from 1 species
GAAGAAAACUUGAAUAACACUUUCUGAUUGAGAUCAAAUUCAAUUGGAUAUGCAGUUUAAGAACUUAUUUAACAUAAAGCAUAAACUGAUCUUAAGACCAAUCAUAGUGCUUGUGAAAAUUAACUCAACCUCUCAAUUGUAAAUUUAAAUUGAAAAAUGCCUAGCUUUACCUGCCACGACUCACAAUUGUCUUCUAAAGUUGUCC